CUUCGUUCUCUUCUUGCUCUCUUUCAAUCACGGAGAAUCAAUGAUGGAGAUAAAGGAUUGAGUUGAUUUCUCUUCGCUUCAUUGAUUAGGCAUGCAGUAUUUUUCAUCUCUUUCUCUUCUAAACAACGAAAAUUCCAUCCCUCCAACUGAAUCAAUCACGGAGAAUCUGCAACUGAAUCAAUCACGGAGAUGAAGAAUUGAAUUGUUUUUUUCAGGGAGUCGGCUUAAUGUUCAAAAGUUUGGGUUGUAUGUGACUAUUGGAUGCAUAGAUUAACACUGGUGAUGCAUAUAUGAGAACUUCAUUGCAAACAUCUUCUAGGGCUAUGAUUUUCAUGAAUUCAUCUCUCUGGUGGUUCACAUGAUUAUGUUAUAUUUGAUCCAUGAGCUCCACUGGAAUGUUCUAAAGCUAUGGACUAUAAACUCAUUGGUGAAGCAAGAAGGUAAAAAGAACGAACAUGGAAAACUAACGAGUCCAUGCAAGAAGUGUGGUGAUUUGUAGGUUGUGGAGGUUUGGGAGUGCGAAAGGAUUGAUGUCGUCAGAUGUAGAGAACGAAAGGGUGGGGUUGGUGGUACCAUUGAUAGGCUUGAGGAGAACUUCAAAAAUUCAAAAUAGCACAUGCAAGAAGAAAGUUAUAUCUAGGGAAAGAAAUGAAACAGUUCCUCUUUUAAAGUUGCUAACUUCUUCUAAUGUAUCAUUUAUUGAUUUUUAGUUUAUCUUAUUCUCCCUUUUCGGUCGGCCUCUCCACCGCACGCGGUAAUCUAAUUAUUCUUUAUUCUCUAUCAUUUUAGAAUUUACUCAUACAAAAUAUCUUAGGUAAAACCUAACUCUUCGUAGUGGACAUCCCAAUUCAUGAUAGCGGCUUUGGUUACAUAUGGUUCCAAAGAAAACAUUCCAAUUCUGGUGAAAGGUUGGAUUGGAUGACUACCAGUACAUAUGGACGAUUCAAUUAGACCUACUGCAAAUGAUGUUUAUCGAACAGUGUUCAGUCGAAAAAAUGAUACAAUAUUCUUCAGCCACAUGGUGAGAGUACACAUGAAGACAUUGUCGUCGAGAAAACUAAGAUAAGAUAUUUACUACUCAACUACAAAAUUAAUGAAUUUAGAUUUUUUUCAAAUCAAUAAUUUUCUUUGUUUGGUUUUACCAUUAGAUGGUUUGCUUCUCCAAGUCUCAUAUAAUUCUUUCGGCCUAAUAUUAGUGUAUGGGAAAAUCUGAAGAUGAUGUUGGGGUUUCCGACCGUGUAUGGGAAAAUCUGAAGAUGAUGUUGGGGUUUCCGACCGUGUAUGGGAAAAUCUGAAGAUGAUGUUGGGGUUUCCGACCGUGUAUGGGAAAAUCUGAAGAUGAUGUUGGGGUUUCCGACCGUAUAUCAGUAUAUGUAGACGACAGUGUUGGGUACUAGACCUCUAACACAGGAUGUCAAGCAAGGAAUACAAAAGAACCAGAUAGAAAUCCUUUUUCUUUGGGGUGAGCAACCAAAUACGAGAGUAAAGGAAAAAAAUAAACUGAGUUUUUCUUAAUGAAUCCAAAAUACAAUUGGGUGCUAAGUAUUUAUAGCUCAAUAGGCUUGAGUAGCAAGCAAUGUAAACUAGUAAACUUAAACACGCUUAGUUAAUAAAAGAAGUCUAGCCAAACCAAGAAGCUAACAAGCUAAAAUAGGUAGUAGUAAUUUAAGGAAACAAGGAAAGGUGUUAGUGUUGUAACAUCCCAUUGCGUCUGAAGAAUGUCUUGUCCUCAAGCCACAAAGUCUGGAAAACGCAUGAGUAACUCAUAUGCAUCUUCCCAAGUAGCAUCUUCCACAACACGAUCUUUCCAAUGAAUUAACCAUUGAGUACCAGCCUUGUUGCCUUUCUUAAACAUCUUUCGAUCCAAAACAGCAGUAGGUUCCCAUUUAUCAUAAUCAAUGAUAGUAGGUAAAAUAGUCUCAACAUUAACAGAAGAGCCAAGCUUUAAUUUCAGUUGUGAAACAUGAAAGACUGG